rnacentral:rRNA from 1 species
CCUACGGGUGGCAGCAGUGAGGAAUAUUCGUCAAUGGGCGUAAGCCUGAACCAGCCAAGUCGCGUGAGGGAUGAAGGUUCUCUGGAUCGUAAACCUCUUUUUUAAGGGAAUAAAGUGCGGGACGUGUCCCGUUUUGUAUGUACCUUAUGAAUAAAGAUCGGCUAACUCCGUGCCAGCACCCGCGGUAAUACGGAGGAUCGGAGCGGUAUCCGGUUUUAUUGGGUUUAAAGGGGGUGUUGGCGGCCUUUUAAGUUAGCGGUGAAAGUACCGGGCUUAACCACAGGAUUGCCGUUGAGACUGGCAGGCUAGAGUUUGAUAGAGGCAGGCGGAAUGCGUUGUGAAGCGGUGAAAUGCUUAGAUA